rnacentral:rRNA from 1 species
UACGUAGGGUGCGAGCGUUUAAUCGGAAUUACUGGGCGUAAAGCGUGCGCAGGCGGUUUUGUAAGCCAGAUGUGAAAUCCCCGGGCUUAACCUGGGAACUGCAUUUGUGACUGCAUCGCUGGAGUGCGGCAGAGGGGGAUGGAAUUCCGCGUGUAGCAGUGAAAUGCGUAGAUAUGCGGAGGAACACCGGUGGCGAAGGCGGCACUCUGGGCCGGAUGACUGACGCUGAGGAGCGAAAGCGUGGGGAGCGAAACAGG